UACGGAGGGUGCAAGCGUUAUCCGGAUUCACUGGGUUUAAAGGGUGCGUAGGUGGGCAAGUAAGUCAGUGGUGAAAUCUCCGGGCUUAACCCGGAAACUGCCAUUGAUACUAUUCGUCUUGAAUACUGUGGAGGUCAGCGGAAUAUGUCAUGUAGCGGUGAGAUGCUUAGAUAUGACAUAGAACACCAAUUGCGAAGGCAGCUGGCUACACAAAUAUUGACACUGAGGCACGAAAGCGUGGGGAUCAAACAGG
rnacentral:rRNA from 1 species